AGCCUUGAAGUAUAAGUACGUUGGAUUGCAAAUCCAAAAAAGCAGGUUAGCUGCCGGCCGGGGCUU
rnacentral:tRNA from 1 species